rnacentral:rRNA from 1 species
AACGAACGCUGGAGGCAGGCCUAACACAUGCAAGUCGAACGCAUCGCAAGAUGAGUGGCGCACGGGUGAGUAACACGUGGGAAUGUAUCAUUUGGCUCGGAAUAACGUCUGGAAACGGAAGCUAAUAACGGAUGAGCCCUUAGGGGGAAAGAUUUAUCGCCGAAGGAGCAGCCCGCGUCUGAUUAGGUAGUUGGUGGGGUAAAGGCAUACAAAGCCGGCGAUCAGUAGCUGGUCUGAGAGGAUGAUCAGCCAAACUGGGACUGAGACACGGCCCAGACUCCUACGGGAGGCAGCAGUGGGGAAUAUUGGACAAUGGGCGCAAGCCUGAUCCAGCCAUGCCGCGUGAGUGAUGAAGGCCUUCGGGUUGUAAAGCUCGUUCGCACACGACGAUGAUGACGGUAGUGUGAGAAGAAGCCCCGGCUAACUUCGUGCCAGCCGCCGCCGCAGUAA